CAGUCGCCGCGGGAAUACGAGGGGGGCAAGCGUUGUUCGGAAUUAUUGGGCGUAAAGGGCGCGUAGGCGGUUUAGCAAGUCCUGUGUGAAAUCUUCGGGCUCAACUCGAAGUCUGCACCGGAAACUGCUGGGCUUGAGUAUGGGAGAGGUGAGUGGAAUUUCCGGUGUAGCGGUGAAAUGCGUAGAUAUCGGAAGGAACACCUGUGGCGAAAGCGGCUCACUGGACCAUAACUGACGCUGAGGCGCGAAAGCUAGGGGAGCAAACAGGAUUAGAUACCCCCGUAGUCCCUGUCUCUUAUAC
rnacentral:rRNA from 1 species